rfam:Schistosoma rodhaini strain Burundi genome assembly, scaffold: SROB_scaffold0001330
GCACUGUUGAGGAGUCCCACAAUAGGACGUAACGGUCUUCCAGUGC